GAGAAUCAAAUAAUCCUUUUGCUAAGGAAGAAAAUCAGCUGGAACGGAUACUGUCAUGUCAUCUUCUUGAAGAAAGCUUUCAAUACAGUGCCUCUUCUCUGACCCAUUGCCCCUCCUUCGGCCAGAUGAGCUGAAGGCAGCCUAGCGCACAGCACCUUUCAGAUUUAAAGAGGCAGGCGCAACUUGGGGGCAGGUGCCUCCCCUGAUCAUGAAGUUAUGUAACCGGGGCUCCCAUCGGUGAGGCUGAAUCCAUGGCAGCUCCCGUCUAGCUCUAAAUUUGUCUUCUUUUCAACUCAUGCCUGCCUUGACCUAAAAUUUGCCCACAAUGUGGGUCUUGCUCUUGCCGUGUCCUUGCUCUCUUGGCUUCUGACUCUGGACCCCACCUCUUACUCUGCUCUCCUGGCAUGGAUGUGCAUGGCUGACUAUGUCUUCCUCGAUCUAACUGUAGUGUCACCACCUCUGGUUAGGGCACACUGUGGGCUGACCUCUUUAAGGGACUAACGUGGAUGACCCCAGAGGGCUGCCCACACAUGUCCUGAGAUAUGGCCCAUCGGAAGGCAGAUGAGAAGUCCUCUAGUGAGGCAGGAGCUCACUUCAGGAGUUAGUCUUCUUGCCAGUGCCUUCUCUCUGCUCCUCUGAGUCUGGGUGGAUCCGAGAACCUUCGUCUAAUCAAGUUCCAGUUCUACCUCUCCCACUAUAUCUCUGGAUAUCCACAAGGAGCCUCUCUUGUGGGACCAGGAUAACAUGAAGAGAAGAAGAAAGGAGAGAAGAAAUGACGAGUGAAAGCUUAAGUGAGACAUAGAUCCUUGCACUGCAUGCUCUGGGGUUGGUUCGAACAGAGGAUAAAAAUCAAAUAACUGGACAAAACAUCUCUUUGAGGACACAGAGGAGUAAGUGAUGACACCCUUAACCUCUACUCCAUCUGGAGAACCCACCUCCUUGGUUAUAAAAAUGAAGUUCUACCGAUAAUUAUAAAAAUAAAAUGUUUACAAGUUCAAGGAAUUCCUUGGAAGACUUGUUUAUACUUGCUGCCCCCAAUUUCUCUCAUUUCAUUCACUUAAAAAACACACACAAUUUGCUAAGAUAUCAUUUACACACCAUGAAAUUAACCCAUUUAAAAUGUGUCAUUCAAUGGAUUUUAGUAUACGUAUUUACAGAAUUGUGUGACCCGUAAUCUAAUUUUAGAACAUUUUUAUCACCCCAAAAAGAAACCUUGUACCCAUUAUCAGUCAUGCCUCCUUUGCCUCCACCCCCAGCCUUAACUAAACAUUAAUUUUCUUUCUGUCUCUAUAGAUUUGCCUCUUCUGGACAUUUCAUAUAAAUGGAUUCAUACAAUAUUGUCUUUUAUGUCUGGCUACUUUCACUUAGCAUAAUGUUAUCCAGGUUCAUUCAUGUAGAUGAUAUCAGUAUUUCAUUCCUCUUUAUGCCUGCAUA